CGANNCUGGGCGUAAGGGCACGUAGGCGGUGAAUCGGGUUGAAAGUCAAAGUCGCCAAAAACUGGCGGAAUGCUCUCGAAACCAAUUCACUUGAGUGAGACAGAGGAGAGUGGAAUUUCGUGUGUAGGGGUGAAAUCCGGAGAUCUACGAAGGAACGCCAAAAGCGAAGGCAGCUCUCUGGGUCCCUACCGACGCUGGGGUGCGAAAGCAUGGGGAGCGAACGGGAUUAGAUACCCUGGUAGUCCAAAA
rnacentral:rRNA from 1 species